GAUGAAGAACGUAGCGAAAUGCGAUAAGUAAUGUGAAUUGCAGAAUUCCGUGAAUCAUCGAAUCUUUGAACGCACAUUGCGCCCCCUGGUAUUCCGGGGGGCAUGCCUGUCCGAGCGUCAUUGCAACCUUCAAGCGCGGCUUGUGUGUUGGGUCUCGUCCCCCGUGGACGGGCCCGAAAGGCAGUGGCGGCGUCCCGACAUGGUGCCCGAGCGUAUGGGAAUCCUCUUCCGCUCGAAUCGGCCCAUGCGGCGCUGGUCGUAACCAAAUUUUUUACCGGUUGACCUCGGAUCAGGUAGGAAUACCCGCUGAACUUAAGCAUAUCAAUAAGCGGAGGA
rnacentral:misc_RNA from 1 species